UACGGAGGGUGCAAGCGUUGCUCGGAAUUAUUGGGCGUAAAGGGUAAGUAGGUGGUCUCAUUUGUCUGGGGUGAAAGCCUUGGGCUUAACCCAAGAAGUGCCCCAGAAACGGUGAGACUAGAGUCCUGGAGAGGUAAGUGGAAUUCCCGGUGUAGCGGUGAAAUGCGUAGAGAUCGGGAGGAACACCAGAGGCGAAGGCGACCACCUGGACUGAUACUGACACUGAGGUGCGAAAGCGUGGGGAGCAAACAGG
rnacentral:rRNA from 1 species